rnacentral:rRNA from 1 species
CAAUAGCGUAUAUUAAAGUUGUUGCGGUUAAAACGCUCGUAGUUGGGUUUCUGUCUAAGCCGCGCAGUCCGUCCUCUGGAUGUGUAUUUGUGCUGGUUUGGGCAUCUCCUGGAAGAGCACGCUGCCCUUGAUUGGAUGGUGUGAAUUCUCCAGGCUUUUACUUUGAGGAAAUUAGAGUGUUCACGGCAGGCUUGCGCCUUGAAUAUGCUAGCAUGGAAUAAUAAAAUAGGGCCACGGUCUAUUUUGUUGGUUUCUAGUACCGAGGUAAUGAUUAAUAGGGACAGUUGGGGGCAUUCGUAUUUAACUGUCAGAGGUGAAAUUCUUGGAUUUGUUAAAGACGAACUACUGCGAAAGCAUUUGCCAAAGAUGUUUUCAUUGAUCAAGAACGAAAGUUAGGGGAUCGAAGACGAUUAGAUACCA